CGGAGGGUGCAAGCGUUAUCCGGAUUCACUGGGUUUAAAGGGAGCGUAGGAGGGCAGGUAAGUCAGUGGUGAAAUCCCCGUGCUUAACAUGGGAACUGCCGUUGAUACUAUCUGUCUUGAAUGCCGUGGAGAUGAGCGGAAUAUGUCAUGUAGCGGUGAAAUGCUUAGAUAUGACAUAGAACACCGAUUGCGAAGGCAGCUCGUUACACGAACAUUGACUCUGAGGCUCGAAAGCGUGGGGAUCAAACAGGAUUAGAUACCCUGGUAGUCCACGCCCUAAACGAUGGAUACUCGACAUACGCGAUACACUGUGUGUGUCUGAGCGAAAGCAUUAAGUAUCCCACCUGGGAAGUACGACCGCAAGGUUG
rnacentral:rRNA from 1 species